rnacentral:rRNA from 1 species
GAUUUCUGGUCUAGUGCGCCUGGCCCACGGCCGUUAGGUUUGUGAGUGCCGGUGCGCGCUUGCCAUCCUUUCUAGUCAGCAGCUCUGGCCUUCACUGGUCGGAGCAGUGGGCUAGAUCUAUUACUUUGAAAAAAUUAGAGUGUUUAAAGCAGGCUUUCGCUAUGAAUAUAUUAGCAUGGAAUAAUAAUUUAGGACUUUGUUUCUAUUUUGUUGGUUUCUAGGAAUGAAGUAAUGAUUGAUAGGGAUAGUUGGGGGUGCUAGUAUUGGCCGGCCAGAGGUGAAAUUCUUGGAUUCGGUCAAGACUAACUUAUGCGAAAGCAUU